UAUAUAUUGAUAAUGACMGUAUAUAUAUCGUGUCUUGACUAAUUGCGUGCCAGCAGUCGCGGUAAUACGUAAGAGACUAGUGUUAUUCAUCUUAAUUAGGUUUAAAGGGUACCUAGGCGGUCAAUAUAGCUUCUAGAAUGUUAGUACUUGACUAGAGUUUUAUGUAAGAGGGCAGUACUUGAGGAGGAGAGAUGAAAUUCUAUGAUACCAAAGGGACUCGGUAAAGGCGAAGGCAGCCUUCUAUGUAAAAACUGACGUUAAAGGACGAAGGCACAGAGCACAAACCAGGAUUAGAUACCCAAGUAGUCUUUGCAGUAAAUGAUGAAUGCCAUAGGUUAGAUUAAGAUUUAAUAUUAUAAUUAUAAAUUAAAUAUUAAACAUUAUUUGGUCUAUAAAUGAAAGUGUAAG
rnacentral:rRNA from 1 species